GGCUAGCUCAACUGGUAGAGUUUUGAAUUAACAUUGCCAGGGUUAGGGGUUCAAUUCCCACUGGGGACACCCA